rnacentral:rRNA from 1 species
GAUGAACGCUGGCGGCGUGCCUAAUACAUGCAAGUCGAGCGAACAGACGAGGAGCUUGCUCCUCUGACGUUAGCGGCGGACGGGUGAGUAACACGUGGAUAACCUACCUAUAAGACUGGGAUAACUUCGGGAAACCGGAGCUAAUACCGGAUAAUAUAUUGCACCGCAUGGUUCAAUAGUGAAAGACGGUUUUGCUGUCACUUAUAGAUGGAUCCGCGCCGCAUUAGCUAGUUGGUAAGGUAACGGCUUAUCAAGGCGACGAUGCGUAGCCGACCUGAGAGGGGGAUCGGCCACACUGGAGCUGAGACACGGUCCAGACUCCUACGGGAGGCAGCAGUAGGGAAUCUUCCGCAAUGGGCGAAAGCCUGACGGAGCAACGCCGCGUGAGUGAUGAAGGUCUUCGGACCGUAAAACUCUGUUAUUAGGGAAGAACAAAUGUGUAAGUAACUAUGCACGUCUUGACGGUACCUAAUCAGAAAGCCACGGCUAACUACGUG